rnacentral:antisense_RNA from 1 species
UGUGGGAGCGAGCCUGCUCGCGAUGACGGACUGUCAAUCAACAAUGAUGUUGAAUGUAAGGCCGCUAUCGCGAGCAGGCUCGCUCCCACA